rnacentral:rRNA from 1 species
UACGUAGGGUGCAAGCGUUAAUCGGAAUUACUGGGCGUAAAGCGUGCGCAGGCGGCUUUGCAAGACAGAUGUGAAAUCCCCGGGCUUAACCUGGGAACUGCAUUUGUGACUGCAUGGCUAGAGUGCGGCAGAGGGGGAUGGAAUUCCGCGUGUAGCAGUGAAAUGCAUAGAUAUCGUCAAGAACACCGAUAGCGAAGGCAGCUUACUGGGCUGUAACUGACGCUGAGGCGCGAAAGCGUGGGGAGCAAACAGG